rnacentral:rRNA from 1 species
GAUUGAGUGUUCCGGUGAAUUAUUCGGACCGUCCCGUUAACGCGCGGCAACGCGUGUGCGGAAUGGAAAGUUUUGUGAACCUUAACACUUAGAGGAAGGAGAAGUCGUAACAAGGUUUCCGUAGGUGAACCUGCGGAAGGAUC